rnacentral:rRNA from 1 species
GUGAACGCUGGCGGUAGGCCUAACACCUGCAAGUCGAACGGCAGCACAGUAAGAGCUUGCUCUUACGGGUGGCGAGUGGCGGACGGGUGAGGAAUACAUCGGAAUCUACUUUUUCGUGGGGGAUAACGUAGGGAAACUUACGCUAAUACCGCAUACGACCUACGGGUGAAAGCAGGGGAUCUUCGGACCUUGCGCGAUUGAAUGAGCCGAUGUCGGAUUAGCUAGUUGGCGGGGUAAAGGCCCACCAAGGCGACGAUCCGUAGCUGGUCUGAGGGGAUGAUCAGCCACACUGGAACUGAGACACGGUCCAGACUCCUACGGGAGGCAGCAGUGGGGAAUAUUGGACAAUGGGCGCAAGCCUGAUCCAGCCAUACCGCGUGGGUGAAGAAGGCCUUCGGGUUGUAAAGCCCUUUUGUUGGGAAAGAAAAGCAGCAGGUUAAUACCCCGCUGUUCUGACGGUACCCAAAGAAUAAGCACCGGCUAACUUCGUG